UGGCGGCAAUAGCGCGGUGGUCCCACCUGACCCCAUGCCGAACUCAGCAGUGAAACGCCGUAGCGCCGAUGGUAGUGUGGGGUCUCCCCAUGUGAGAGUA
rnacentral:rRNA from 2 species